CGCCCGGUGCGAGAAUUUAGAAGGGCUUCUUUGGGGUAGACACCUGUCUUUAAAUGUCGUCGCACGUCUCUCGCAAAAGGUUUUCCUUUCUAGUACCUCGACCCCGUGUCGUUGGGUCGUACGCGGAACGAAAGGAAUUUACCGAGAGAGAGACUGCCACCCGGCCCCGUUUUUUUUUCGUCAACGUGCUUGCGACUGUACCGUAUGGAGAAAGGAAAAACGAGAGACAACUUUUAACGGUGGAUCUCUUGGCUCGUGCAUCGAUGAAGAACGCAGCCAGCUGCGAUAAGUAGUGUGAAUUGCAGAAUUCAGUGAAUCAUCGAAUCUUUGAACGCAAAUGGCGCUCUCGGGUUCUCCCGGGAGCACGUCCGUCUGAGUGUCGGCAUACAUAUCAUAUCGCACGAACGUGCGGCGUUGAGGCGUCGCGGCGUCCUUGCCGCGUCCCUCGAAAUGCAGGAGAACCGCCGUGUAAGCGAUCCUCGGAGGCUUAAGACAAGUUGGUUCCCCAAGAGCGAUCGGCAGCAACCGGUUUUACAAUAAGUGACCUCAUCGAAUCUCGACCUCA
rnacentral:rRNA from 1 species